UGCCGACCUCCACAUUCUGCGGUCACCCCCGUGUUAUUCCCGCACUGAGAGAGGAAAUACCGCGAGAACCCGCAUCUUCAAAAACAAACGCGGCCGGGGCUGGGGGUGUUGGCAAGUGCCCGGAGCAAGCGAGGACAAGUGGUUGUGCCCACUCUUUCCUCCGAACCUGGGUCGGCACCUCUCCACGAGGCUCAGUACCUCUCCACAAGGCUCAGUGGCCCCAUCCAUGAGAUGAAGGGAUGGGGCUGGACUGCCCGGUGCUGGGACAGGAAUUCUGACGGGCCCUGGAUUUUCCAUCUCUCUCUCUCCCUCUCUCUCUCUCCCUCUCUCCUUCCACAGUCUCUCUAAUUAACCCCAAGGGCUCACACAUUUGCAAAGCAAAAUUAACUGUGCUAUAAAAAGAAAGCCAGGGAAGGGCUGUGAGCUACAGAAGAUGUCUUUCGGGAGGCUGGAAGGACUUCAGUUCUGGUGACGUUUGGAGAUGCCCGGCUCCAGAGCCUGCCUUGCUCAGAGCUCAGGUGGCCACACUGAAUCUGAGAUUCCUGGACUCCAAGAAUCCUGCCUCUCUUCCAGCUCCCCGUGGCCAGUGACUCCUCAGUGGAGAGUAAGAUGAGGGCAGAAGUGACAGAUGACCCUUCCUGGUGGUGGCUCUCCAGAGGCGAGGCCAUGCCCUCCCAGCUCCUGCGUCUUCUCACUGCCGGGAGUGCAAAC